AACGAACGCUGGCGGCAUGCCUAACACAUGCAAGUCGAACGAGACCUUCGGGUCUUGUGGCGCACGGGUUCGUCACGCGUGGGAACCUUCCCUUAGGUUCGGAAUAACUCCCCGACAGGGGUGCUAAUACCGGAUCAUGUCUUCUGACCAAAGAUUUAUCGCCUUUGGAUGUUCCCGCGUUGGAUUAGCUAGUUGGUAGGGUAAAAGCCUACCAAGGCGACGAUCCAUAGCUGGUCUGAGAGGAUGAUCAGCCACACUGGGACUGAGACACGGCCCAGACUCCUACGGGAGGCAGGAGUGGGGAAUAGUGGAAAAUGGGGGAAAGGCUGAUGGAGCAAUGACGGGAGAGUGAUGAAGGUAGUAGGGUUGUAAAGCUCUUUUAACCGGGAUGAUAAUGACAGUACCGGGAGAAUAAGCUCCGGCUAACUACGUG
rnacentral:rRNA from 1 species